rnacentral:lncRNA from 1 species
GAAAAGGGGGCGAUCCCCACUCUCAAACCCUAACUUCACCAAAUUGAUCAAUUGAAGGUUAAUCCUUGCCCCAAAUCGAAAUCUGAAUAGAGAUUCGUGAUCCUCAUCACAAGGGGAUUACAAGAAAUUAGAAGCUUACAAUCAUGUAAAAUGGAACGGGCGCAGGAGCGUCAAGCGGACAAGCGGGCGGCGAACCACGUUUAAAAGGCCUACUUUGAAGGUAU